CAAGAGUGGUCUCGAACUCGCGACAUCUUACUACCGCAUACGCCCUUUACGAGCGUAGCUAGCGAACCCGCCGAGUAUUUACUAGUUGUUGACGCAUUAUGUUCAUCAAGUUGUCCUUAUACUCUGGUAUAAGAAAACUCUGGUCUUCAGUGUUGCUACAACGAACACGUGUUUUACAGCUGAUAAGAUAAUAAAAUAUAGAAUAAUAGAAAAUAUAGAAUAUAUAGAAUAGAAAAUAUAGAAUAAAAAUUUUUCGUUCGAGGCUUUGUUUUCGAGAAAAUCGACUUUGAAUCUUCGCUCGGUACGCCUGCGGUACGUUAUAACGGAUCUCACUGUAGAUAGAAAAUGUACUGUAGAAAAAUAACGAGACGUGAUAAAGUGCACGCGUACCGAGCGAAAAUUCAAAGUCGAUUUUCUCGAAAACAAAGCCUCAAACGAAAAAUGUUUAUUCUAUAUUUCCAACUUCUUUUUUCGCGUAGAAUCACCCCCUUUCCGCUUGUACCACCAGUUACCAACCAUCCUGUAUAUGUCGGAGAUAAAAGGACCUCAGGGCCUCCCUUUUGGAAUAUUAGGGAAAACUCCAAUACCCUAAUCCAGACUUUUACUAUAGCUACACUUAAGUAAUUUAAGUAAGUUAUGACCACGAUCUACAGUGAGAUCCGUUAUAACGUACCACACACGUACCGAGCGAAGAUUCAAAGUCGAUUUUCUCGAAAACAAAGCCUCGAACGAAAAAUGUUUAUUCUAUAUUUUCGACUUCUUUUUUCGCGUAGAAUUACCCCCUUUCCGCUUGUACCACCAGUUACCAACCACCCUGUAUAUAUAUGGGUUGGCAACUAAAUGAUUGCGGAUUUUAUCAAUACCACCUAAUGACAAAAUCCGCAAUCAUUUAGUUGCCAACCAAAUACUACCGUUACCGUCAGCGCCAGAUGUCGCGAUAACAAGUUAUCGAUAUUUGCUAUAUGUAACAUGCAAAACGUUCUCCGGGUUGGUCAAUGAUCCCCGCAUUCAACGUCACGAACGUGUCUGCCGGCUCUGUGCGAGACAGUUAACACGCAUCCUGCCGGAUUAAAAGAUUUAACGCCUUGCAUACGCGCUCUCGAUCUCGAUGAUCGUCUAAACAAACCAUUUUAUCUCGCCUUUUAUACAGAACCAUCCAUCCAUACACCGCUCUUAUAGCUUUUAACGCUAUUUAAAUCUGGCUGGACCAUGAGAAAAGUUUAUUGACACGAUCGUAAGGCUCGUCAGAAAAUUACUGAAUCGUUGGUACGGUCAGAUGAUUUCUUAACAAUUUCUUUCGAUUCUGAUUUUUGUUCUUCAGUUGCUUUUACACCAUCCAUUUAUCAUCCCUAAAUGCUCCAUUAAUUAAUGUCCAAAGCUUUUUCAAUCGAGAUUCUACCGUGUUUCUACGAAACACUGUUAAUUUAUCAUUCCAUACGGAUAAAUAGGAUUCGUAUGUUAUUUCUCCACUUUACUUCUACACCCAUCAAGUUAAUCAGUGUAAAUAAAGAAUCGUGACGUCAAUACUGCGUUAAAGAAGUCUGCUUUUUUCACGAGGAGGAAUUAAAUAAUACAACGGAUGCUUAACACGCGUGUCGACACUGUGAUCGUAUAAGAUUUCACGUUAAUUAACGCAACAGGAAACAACGAACCGUGAAAGAGCAGUCGUUACAACAUCUCUAUGGAGACACAGUUUCGUACGCGGUUCAUCCGCAGUGUGAAAUUUCCGCGUACGCACGAGUAUCAAAUAUCGCGAAACAGGUAAUUAUCGAGGAUUUCCUGUUUGAUGAUGCGAAAUUUGGAAGGAGUAAACGUAAUGACAAGAUAACGCACUUGUCAGCUUUUAUAAUACGAUGUAUCGAUACGAAACUUCUAACCGGUAUUGUACUCGUACAUGAGGCGUAGAAGAGGGUUACUCGUCGAUCGAUCAUGUUUUCAAUCUGCUGAUCUGUUCGACAAGAAAAAUUCAGUGGUCGUGAAAUCGUUGACGUCGAUCUAGUGGAACGGGAAAGAAUAAACAGGACGAUCGAGAAAGAGAUCUAGCGAUAUGCACCUAUUAGCUAGGAAAUCUUUGCGGCUGAUUAAGUAAGUAGAUCGGUAAGUUUGUCGCGAAUAAUCUGACACUGUCGAAAUGCAAAGUAACAGAGGCGUGAAAGCAACUGGAAAUAAUUUUAAUGAACAUUGUUAGGUUUUGAACUGAGAAACGCAACGGUGAACGUUUCGUUUCCGAGAGGAAAAGAGAGUUUCUCUUCCCUUGAUAUCUAAGCUAGUAAAGUAAUUAUAUAAUUUUCCACAUCGCUUUUAUUUUUACGAUAAGUCUGGUUUUCCUCUAUCGAGAAAGAUUUGAGAAUAUAAUACAAAAUAUAGAAUUAUUCUCCUCCUUUGUCAUUUGUCAUUGUCAGGCUCUUCAAAUUAUUACAAAAAGAAGAAAAAUAAAAAUAACUGAAAUUUCGUAGAUCCCGGCUCGAGAAUGAUUUCUUUGAAUUUGUGUUGGAUCUAUUUAAUACCGAUGAAAGAUGAUAAAUAUAUAGACUGUAAUAGUAAAUAAAACGUUAAAUAAGAUGCUAAACGUGUAAAUAGAAUAUUGCAAUACUGUGUUGCAAUACUGAUGAUAGAAGAAACUGCAAAAUUUACUUGAAAAUAUCAAACAGCGUUUCACGAAGUGUACAGAGCUGAGAGUUUUAUUAUCGCAAACAAUCAGAGUUCAAGAUAAGACGAAUAAAUUGGAAAAAUAAACUGCAGUUAGAGAGUCAUUCAAUUUUAUGAGUUCUUAACAACCAUGCGCUGGCUCAGCAGUGAAAACAGCCGAGACGAGGUAAAAAGGAGAAAUUAUUUCGCUCUGCGAAAAGGAACUAAUAAGCAAUUUUCUAGCGGUUGUGGAGGAUCAGAAUAUGAAAUUGCAGAAAUAUUCCCAGUUUGGUAAUAAUAAAUGUGUUUGAGAAUAAUCGAUUGUUAAUUACAAAUUUAUAUUCAUAUUUGAUCAAAUUUAAUUGAAUUGAUUUUCUUUUCUUGCAUUCUCCGUUACUAGGUUCUUAAUACAACUUCUUGCUCACAAAUUCAUAACACUUUAGAUUUCACAAUAAAGCAAGUGACAGUCUUGAUUAUGUCUCGAUGACAGGCUUCCGAUUUUCUCCGUUUUCUAUGUUCCAAGAAGAAUUCAGCGUCUCUUUCAGCCCUUUUAGGGCAUUAACCAUCGACGAGUGUGUUUAUGCGUUCGUGCAUUACACACGAUAAUGCAUCGCGGAUGGUGCAUCGUACGCAUAAAACAUCCGGACAGUCUAAACAAUCCAACGUGUUGUAAACCGCCCCAAAUAAAUCGCGCCGUGUUUUGCGUACGCAUAUAUAUUAGUAGGUUUCGUGGUAGAUGGACAAAAAUUUAUCCGUUCAUUCGAGUUCAUUCCGGGAAUGGAAUUUUGGAAUGAAAUUCGAGGAAUACGAUUCUAGACAAUUCUCAAUUCUUGUAUAUGAAUAUAACUACGCAAGUGGAAUUUACACGAGUAUCUCAUUUUCGACAGUUUACAUAUUUUCCCACUUUACGUGCAUUUUCUACAUUCUAUUUCGCAUCUCGUUACAACGCAAAUGUGGAAAUGUUUCGUACGACGCGCAUAACACAUUCAUAGAACUUUUCUGUGAUAAAUGUUCAAAUACUUUUGUGAAUCACUGUAGGGCAUAAACGAAGAUAUUAAGAAAUAUUCCUCAUAUUUUUUCUAACACCAGGAACUCUUGUAUUCGCCUAGUACAAGAAAAAUAUAGAAAUACAAAUAUAAAUGUACGGACGUUGAUUCAAUGUAUUUUCAUUUAAUUUAGUUGAUUUAAACGUUUUAAUUUAUUUUUCCUGUCAAUCGAGAGAUAUCUGACAGUAAAAUUGCGACAAAUUUCGGUCUAAAAUCGGAGUAACGGUAGCCGUGAUAGCCAUGACGAGAGGAAGCUUGUGAAAGUAUUGUCUUUUCCUGCGUUUCAUCCACAUUUAGAUAUUCGUUAUCUAGUUUAUUGUAUAUUUCAAGAAAAGGUAGAUCGAUCGUUACGAAUGUACCAAGGUUGGUCAGAAGAUCAGGUGUUACACACCUCUUAAGACAGUCAACUAUUGCGUUUCGCCAGAACCAUGGAGUAUCAUCUUGCAACGAGAGAAAACACGUUGAAAUACGCGCAAUGCUCCGACGAUGAUUCAACCUUUGGUUCGAGUAAAUGUUACCAAAACGAAUGGUAUGUAUAAACAUUCGUUGCAGUACUGUUAGAAAAAUAUACAUAUAUACAUAGAUAAUUCUCGUUGUUUCAAAAUAUUAAGUAAAUUCGCAUGAACCUCGCGCCAUGUGCAAAUCGCCACUAUUCCGCUUAUUUUAUAAAUUGUCGUAAAAUGUGUAAUUCUUUCGUUUACUUUAUACUCUCGUCUAUUUCAGUUAUUCAAAGUUCUGAUUCACUAAAAAAUUCAGAUUCUGCCUCUGUGCUGUAAGAUAAUAUUUAGAGAAUUCGAAUUUAGUCGAGUAUUUCGAUUCCUACAAGUAUCGUUCUUCUAAUAUCGUGGCUAAUUAAAUUAAUAACUUUAUUCUUUACGAUCACACGUUUUCGUGACUUGUGAAAAUAUAAUGAAUUUCGUACAGUAACAAACAGAGUGUACGACCUUGUGAAAAAUAGUGGUCAAUUGAUUUACAGUAUUCAUUCUCGGUGA